UACGUAGGGUGCAAGCGUUAUCCGGAUUUACUGGGCGUAAAGCGUAUCGUAGGCGGAUGUGUGCGUGGCGGGUUCAAGACCUCAGCCUAACUGAGGGAAUGCUCGUCAUACGGCACGUCUUGAGUCUGUUCGAGGGAACUGGAAUUCUCGGUGGAGGGGUGAAAUCCGUAGAUAUCGAGAGGAACGCCAAGGGUGAAGACAGGUUCCUAGGGCAGUACUGACGCUCAUGAACGACAGCUAGGGGAGCAAAAGGG
rnacentral:rRNA from 1 species